CUGUGUUGGGAGAGGAAGGAAGUUGGUAAAGGGCUUCCAAACAUUCGCUAUAUUAAGACCAUCCAUUGGUCCCCAGACCUAGUUCUUUCCCUAGGCCUGGUUUUAUAAAUACUGGUGAUAAAC
ensembl:snoRNA SNORA72 Small nucleolar RNA SNORA72